UCCCUGGUGGAGCAGCUGGUUAAGGACCCGGCAUUGUCACUGCUGUGGUGCAGGUUCAAUCCCUGCCCAGGGAC
rfam:Sus scrofa isolate TJ Tabasco breed Duroc chromosome 12, whole genome shotgun sequence.